UGGGCGUAAGCGCACGCAGGCGGUCAAUUAAGUCAGGAUGUGAAAGCCCCGAGCUUAACUUGGGAAUUGCAUCUGAAACUGGUUGGCUAGAGUCUUGUAGAGGGGGGUAGAAUUCCAUGUGUAGCGGUGAAAUGCGUAGAGAUGUGGAGGAAUACCGGUGGCGAAGGCGGCCCCCUGGACAAAGACUGACGCUCAGGUGCGAAAGCGUGGGGAGCAAACAGGAUUAGAUACCC
rnacentral:rRNA from 1 species